AUUCUGAUCUUUGAUUUUAUUAUUGUUUUCUGUUAUCAAAUAAAAAAGAUUGCUUCUCUUUUGGUUCAUAAGGUUAUCAACAAUAUGAACAAUUCCAAUGGAAUGAGAAAAGAAAAAGAAAACUGUUUUUGUUUUGUUCUUUCUCAUCAUUACGUUAUAAAUCAUUGUGAAUGUUUUGAAUCACAAGAAUAACAAUUUAAAUGAUAUAUUGUACAACUUUGGUCUUAACUGUUGUUUUGAUCAAGAGUCAAGUAUUAAUAUUGUUUGGAAAGGGAAAACAAAUUGUAGAGAAUCAAAUGUCUAUGCUUUUUAGCUGGUUCAUGAGUUAUUCAUAAAUGUGUCUAUCAUUUAGAUUAUAUUGAAAUUAUUGGCAUUUCUCAUUGCCAUUAAAGCCAUAAAGUUUACUCAGUUUACUCUUUAGUUAAGGUAACUCUGUAAUAAUCAAAUUAAUCAACUGAUAAACUGAUUUACCAAGAAAGAAAUUGAAACCGUUUCAAUGAUAGCUUCAAAAUAAAGUUAGAAAUAAAAAAUGGUGCUUCAUUUUUCAAACUGUGAGUUGCUGCUCAAAUAACAAUGAACAGCCAUUCUGGUUAAAAGAUAAUCUUUAAUAAUAUUAAGGGUUCUUAAACCUUAAGAAAAAUGCUUGAAAACAGAUUAUAAUUCAUCAAUUAUAAAGGGUGUAACACUUAAAAACUGGUAGAUUGAGUGGGUAACAAGAAAGCGCAUCUUACCUUAAUCACAAAAUUUGACGAUAUUGAUUCGGUUAAUUAUGAAGCAACAGAGACAAUGAAACCAAAAUCAAAUCUGUUGCUUCAUGAUCUUCAUUAUUAUCUCAAGCAAUAUCGCCAAAAUUUUGAUUCAGGUAAGAUACGGUUUCUUGUGACUUGCUUCAUCUGUAAGUUUUGAACCCUUUAUGUUGAGGAUUAUGUAGCAAAAGAUAUCAACAAUCGUCUCAAUUUUCCCUGCACAAGUAUAAUUAAGAGAUGAUCCCUUGUCAUAUUUAGUUGCAACAGGAAUCUUCUAGAAUCCAGACUAUCAAACCGUUACUUUAACCCAUCUAAUUAUUGUCACUAUAAUUCACUAAUUAUGUCUUCUAGGGUUAACCUCAAGCUCCACAUCAAUAAUUAGACAUCUAUGUCUCUAACCUAUUUUGGAUCUUAAAGACGAUCCUGGAUAGUCAAUUGUGGUUCCUAGCAACUCUAAAGCUGUAAUUAAUGAGUGAAACAUCGGACAAUAUUAGUGGUUUGACAUGGAAUGGCAAAGAAACAAUGAAAAUUGAAUUCCAACCUUCAUAUUGAACCUUCUUGAACCCAAUUUUUCUGUCUGCGGUUUUAAUUAAAUUCUAACCCUGAUGUGAUUCUGAAUAAUUGAUGACUUUCACCGAUUUCCAGAUAUUACAUUGUCAGACAGGACCCAGUCUGUCCAGUUGUUGAUCUUGAUGAUUACCAAGCGACCAUCGACUUAAACAUAGAUUCAAAGUAGUAAAGUUUCAAGUGAUUUGAUUAACAUUCAAUCAUUUUUGCCAUUGAAAAGGGAUUCGAGUCUGGAAAUGCAUCAAUGUACUCAUUAUGGACCAGGAUAGUCCAAUUGUAUCUUCAAGGGUUAUCGAUUCUUAGAGAUGAAGGCUUCAUCAUCGUGUUUGUAGGCUGAUUCUGGAUUCCUAACUUGUUAUUAAUAGUUACAUUGAUUGACCGGGUUGACACUAAAUUUGUCCAGUUAAAGACAGUUUGCUGUGUGAUUUUAUUAUGAUAUUUGAUUGGCUCAAUUUGGAUGAAUUGAAUUCACUCUAUUUUUGCCUGCAAGAUUGGAUUCAAAUGCGUCUUACAUCUCAACCUUUGGACAAUGUAACAACAUGGUUAACCUUUAAUUGGAAAAGUUUAUUUUUCGUUUCAUCUUCUCUUCUCUUUAAUCAUUCAAGUUUUCACUGGGCCUCUGAGUUUCAUUUAGUUGGUUAAUUUUGACUGAUUAAGUUGAAAUGCCAAGAAUCUAAACCAUUUAAGCUGUUACUUAAUUACAAUCUCUAAAUUGGCCUAGUUGAUUAACUUGAAAUGGAAGCUCAUUGUUUUUACUAUUGCUUGCCAUUUUUAAAUUGAAAUGUCAAGACAUUAAUUUGUAGACGUAAUCAGUGAGACUGUUUAGGUUAUCAAAGGUUUUACUUGUUAACGGAAUGAAAAUGAAAUGAUGAAAGAUAGGUAAUUGUAACUGAUUAGUUUGUUAAUUAAAAGUGAAACAAAUAUCAGAUGAAACAAUUAAGAAGGCAAGUAAAGAAUUGAAUAGACGCAUGAAAGGGCAAAGUGUAGUUGAAUGGUAAAAGUAUGGAUUUAAUUAUCUUGUUAAUUAAAACAUAGACAAUUUAAAUUGAACUUUAAAUAAUUAAAUUUAUUAAUCUAAUUAGAUUGAUUAAUGGAUAAAUGUUGCAGAAAUGUGAAAUUAUGAUUGAUGAAUGAAAUUGUUUGCUUGUAAAGUAUCAACAAUUUUAAAUCAAUUGAUUGAAAAGGCAGACAAAGAGCAAGAAAGAUGAAACUAAUUGUUAAUAAAGUGAAAAGCAUCAAUUAGAGCAGAUGAAUAGCUUUCUUUAAUAAUAGUAAUAUGAUAAAUUGAGACAAUUUGACCAUCUCUUGAUUGUUGGUGUUCAUUGAAGCUUUCUGUUUGUUUUAACAUACAAAUCAGUUGAUCCAUGAUAACACCAAUAAUUAACAAACUAACUAACUUUACAUGUUUCAUACUUAAUUCACUUUCUUUCCUCUCUCCUCUCCUUGGAUGGUUAACCAAGGAUUCCGUCUUGUCCACUCUAGAUCUUUUGCUUAUCUCUUACCCAGGACAUUGACCAUCUACUUUUUUUUCAGUGUAAAUAAUAUUAAGCAAAAAGGCAAACUUUAUCCUCCAUCAUCCUCCUUCAUCAUCAUCCUUGAUCAUCACCAUGAACCAGCCUUUUCAAGUAUACUUUAAGCUAAUUAGCUUGUCUUUGCUGGCUAACAUAAACAGUGAGAAGCUGAAUGAUCAAUUUAUUAUUAGGAUUGGCCUUUAAAUUUAACUAUUGGAUGGUGUUGAUGGAACCAAGGAAAUACAAGGAAAUGCAAGGAAAAUGAUGGUUAAAGUCAUGUUGAAAAGGCAAACCUUUUGCCCAUUAACUCGGAUCACUCAACAGCCAAAAGUAACAUGACAAAGUUAAAUUAAACAGAAAGCUCAGACAGUUUAAUGAUCCUGAUGAUGUUGAUGGUUAACAAUUAAUCAAGGAAAAUGUCUCUACUCUCAAUAACACACAGACUCGCAAGAUUGUCAAUUGUUUUAAAUCAUCUUCUAAAAGAGUAUCACCUCAUUUACUCGGCAUCAAUGAUGAAUUUGGAUUGGUGAAAGUCUCCAGUAAAUCACAAACACUUUUUCAUGAUUCUUGAAUUGAUUUGUUUAUGAUUAGUAGAUUGUUAAUUGAAUCUAAGGCAAAUAAGUAUGAAAAGAGAUGUGUUUACUUACGGAAAAUGAGGUUUACCAAAUGAAGCAAUUCUAAUUGCAUAAUUAGGGAAAAUAUCCUUUGCAAUUGAAUGGGGUAAUUUAAUUGUAUACGGAAUUGGUUUAGGUAAAUAACUUGAAUAAAAUGUUGGUAAUUUAA